CAGGCUUGAUCUCAGUGGAUGAAGGCAUCUGGGUUGUUCAAAAGAUCCUUGUCUACGGGUUCGAUGAUAUCCUAUUGCUCUGAAAAGCAUUUCAGGCGGCCGCACUGUCAAUGGUGCUGGGGAGACAUUACUCGCUCUUGUCGGGUAUGCGGCGUUCAAACUCGCUAUCGCCAUACAAGGCUGUGCAAUGAGUAAUAACAUGAGUACUAACUAGAAGGCAUGAGAGAGAUGAGUAAUUUGGUAGUACUUCCACCUGAAAUCUGCUAAUUCUCCUCAGGGCAGAUCAAGACAUACAAGCUCUAUAUGAAAGCGGAGAAAGGGUUGGGUUGCUAACCAUUUAGCAAUCCGUUCCAGUGAUCAUGUAUCUUGGUAGCCCCAUACAGCUGAGUGUUCGUUCACUGGUGCCUCUAUCCCUCGUCGGAAGACCUGCAAUUCCUUUCAAGGCGAAACUUGUCUUGGGCGAUGGUACUGUACAGUACAUCCCCCAUCAGUAGGUAAUGUAUCUUGCUGCUCGGCGAAAGUUCGGAGUUUGACACGCGUUGAUUGUGCUUGUUAAUGCGGUUUGAGACCCUGAGUUAAGUCGCUGCAGGGGUUUUUACUUUGCUGAUACAGCAUUUUAGCCUGCGGAAGUUGCAGCUGCGCCACAUUGUUAUGGAUUCGAUCCAGUGGGAAAUAUAUAAAGGGCACCUACGAAUUUGGAGCGUCUAAAACUAACCGUAGGAACUUUCAACAAUAAUAUUCUUGGAAUAUGGUGAAGAUGUUGAAAGGCGGAAGAGCAGAUCCGGCCAUACACAGUCUUUGUGAUUGCGUAUCUGUGGUUUGUUGAACGCUGGGUGCAAAUCAAACAAACUGCUAAUUCAAAGUCCACUUCUCGUUAUUAGCACUUACUUCUUUCCAUGAUGUCGGAAAUAUUUCAUUUGCCUCUUGCAGUCGCUACUUUCUAGUUCUUUACAUUGAUGGAGGUUGAGAAGUUCGCAAGGAAUGUACCAAGCCAACCAUGAGAAGCUCAUUGACUAUUUGCUAGCAAUCCAAGGAAAAAUAGUAUUUCCAUCCACGGAAUUUUCCCAUGAGACCCAGAUUCCCUCGAACUAGUGCCGGUCAAUCUUUUGCUGAAUCUUGCAAAUCCGUGGCCUCGAAUUCCUAGGAUACACAAGUCACCUGCCAGCCAAUGUCCGUCCAUGAUUCAUUCAUUGAUCCUCGGGGUGGUCCAAAGGCCUUGCUUCCCCAAAGGCCUUGCUUCCCCGAAUCUGGCUGGCCUAAGUAGGUUACCAGUUGCAUCCAGACAGAGAUCGAUCUGGGGUUGAACAAGAAGUUCAACGUAUAACGGCUUCAGCCCUUAUAUAUUCAGCUCGAGCCAAGGCUCUAUAGAAACUACUGGAGGAAGCGAACCCGCGGGCAUCUCGGAGCAUUCUGGGAUCGUGAGGCCCUUGGUCUUUCCAGGGACGAAAAAUAAAGUGUAUGAGUUGUGGGAAAUUUCGGUACUUCGGAGUUGCCGGAUGGCGGGACGUCCAGUGGAACGGGUCAAAGAGCAAGUGGUCA
rnacentral:sRNA from 1 species